rnacentral:piRNA from 1 species
UGACAUUUGCAUUCCAAACCAGAGCCCC